rnacentral:rRNA from 1 species
UACGAAGGGGCUAGCGUUGCUCGGAAUUACUGGGCGUAAAGCGCACGUAGGCGGAUCUUUAAGUCAGGGGUGAAAUCCUGGAGCUCAACUCCAGAACUGCCUUUGAUACUGAGGACCUUGAGUUCGGGAGAGGUGAGUGGAACUGCGAGUGUAGAGGUGAAAUUCGUAGAUAUUCGCAAGAACACCAGUGGCGAAGGCGGCUCACUGGCCCGAUACUGACGCUGAGGUGCGAAAGCGUGGGGAGCAAACAGGG